rnacentral:lncRNA from 1 species
UCUUUUUUUUUUAUUGCGUAUUUUUUUGAAAAUAAACAUGCUAUGAUGCAAAUGAUGCAGACAAGACUGGCAGACUGUGCAUCUCGGAACACAGGAUCAAAGUUUCGGCUUGAACUCGGAACCACAAAUUCAUCUGAAACCCAAAGUCAUCUGAGACAGCCCAAUCUGAAGAACCAAGUCACCAACAGGAUCAUAAGUCACAAACAAGUCACCGACAAGUCACCAACUGUACCUGUAAUAAUGAUCAUUCCCUCC